rnacentral:lncRNA from 1 species
UUUCAUACAAUCUUUAUACACGUACAGUAUGUCUCUAAUAAACAUAUACAUAUGAUUUGACAUUAUUUUUCAGACCCCAACUCUGCAAUUAUUAGCUAUUACAGAACUUUCACCAUCAACUGCCUGGGAACUCGCCUACAGUCUCUGAUCGCUUACUGUAAUGUCACAAACAGUCUGGGCCAGAACACCACUGCUCCUCUAGAUGUGCCAAUAAUAUAUCGUAAGUAUUGCAGUAAUAACCAAAACUCACACUUAAACCUUUAUCACUAGCAGCUUAACUUGACAACCUUGAAGUAAACAAAAUCUUUCCUCAGCUGGAGAUCCAGUUUGUGAAAAAGACGACCCAUGGCCAAAAACAAAGAAUGGAUCGAAAGCAACAAUACUCUGCACUGAACCCGGACGAGUGGGAAAAAAGGAACGACUAUGCAGUUCUAAAGUUUGGCAAGAUCCAAUCGACCUGUGUAUUAAAGAAGCGCUAAAUACAGUGGCUGCAGCAGCUGGGGACUUUGAAAAAGGAGUUGGGGCCACAGAGGAUGGGGCUAGUCUUAUUUUUGAUAAUCUCAAGAACACCACUUCAGUUCAGAACACAUACGGUGAUGUGAAGGCCACCGUAAAUGUUUUCAGCACAAUGAGUCGAGCAUCCUCCAGAGUCACAAUGGGAGAGACACUACUGCCAGUAAGCUUUUUCUAAUGAAAGCAGAGUUUUGACCUUAUUGUACUAAAGCAAAUCACUGCUCUGUGAUAAUAUAGGUGUGAUAACUAAUAAUUUACUGCUACAACAGUGAGCCUGUGCAUUGGGAAAGCUGUGCGUAUGUGGAACAUAUUAUAUACCAUGUUUGUAGCACUCUGGCA